rnacentral:rRNA from 1 species
AACGAACGCUGGCGGCAGGCUUAACACAUGCAAGUCGAACGCCCCGCAAGGGGAGUGGCAGACGGGUGAGUAACGCGUGGGGAUGUGCCUUGAGGUGGGGAAUAACCGUGGGAAACUACAGCUAAUACCGCAUACGCCCUUUUGGGGAAAGAUUUAUCGCCUUUAGAGCAACCCGCGUCAGAUUAGCUAGUUGGUAGGGUAAUGGCCUACCAAGGCGACGAUCUGUAGCUGGUCUGAGAGGAUGACCAGCCACACUGGGACUGAGACACGGCCCAGACUCCUACGGGAGGCAGCAGUGGGGAAUAUUGGACAAUGGGCGCAAGCCUGAUCCAGCCAUGCCGCGUGAGUGAUGACGGCCUUAGGGUUGUAAAGCUCUUUUAACAGGGACGAUAAUGACGGUACCUGUAGAAUAAGCCCCGGCAAACUUCGUGCCAGCCGCCGCCGUAAUAC